rnacentral:tRNA from 5 species
GCUCUAGUAGCUUAAAC